rnacentral:rRNA from 1 species
GACGAACGCUGGCGGCGUGCCUAAUACAUGCAAGUAGAACUCAGUUGCGAACGCGUGAGUGACACGCAGGUAACUGCAUGGAAGCGGGGGAUAACUAUUGGACACGAUAGCUAUUACCGCAACCUACCCGAUGGAUCUGCGUUGUGUUAGCUAGUUGGUGAGGUAACGGGUCACCAAGGCAACGAUACAUAGCCGACCCGAGAGGGUGAUCGGCCACACUGGGAAUGAGACACGGCCCAGACUCCUACGGGAGGCAGCAGUAGGGAAGCUUCGGCAAUGGGGGGAACGCUGACCGAGCAACGCCGCGUGAGUGAAGAAGGUUUUCGGAUCGUAAAGCUCUGGUGUUAAGGAAGCGGUACUUAACCAGAAAGGGACGGCUAACUACGUGCCAGCAGCCGCGGUAAUUC